rnacentral:rRNA from 1 species
UACGUAGGGGGCAAGCGUUGUCCGGAUUUAUUGGGCGUAAAGAGCGUGUAGGCGGCCACACAGGUCAGCUGUGAAAACUCGAGGCUCAACCUCGAGACGUCGGUUGAAACCGUAUGGCUAGAGUCCGGAAGAGGAGAGUGGAAUUCCCGGUGUAGCGGUGAAAUGCGCAGAUAUUGGGAAGAACACCGGUGGCGAAGGCGGCGACCUGGUCCGACACUGACGCUGAGGCGCGAAAGCGUGGGGAGCAAACAGG